rnacentral:misc_RNA from 1 species
GAUGAAGAACGCAGCGAAAUGCGAUAAGUAGUGUGAAUUGCAGAAUUCAGUGAAUCAUCGAAUCUUUGAACGCACAUUGCGCCCGCCAGCAUUCUGGCGGGCAUGCCUGUUCGAGCGUCAUUUCAACCCUCGACCUCCCCUUGGGGAGGUCGGCGUUGGGGACCGGCAGCACACCGCCGGCCCUGAAAUGGAGUGGCGGCCCGUCUGCGGCGACCUCUGCGCAGUAAUACAGCUCGCACCGGGACCCCGACGCGGCCACGCCGUAAAACACCCAACUUCUGAACGUUGACCUCGAAUCAGGUAGGACUACCCGCUGAACUUAAGCAUAUCAAUAAGCGGAGGA